rnacentral:rRNA from 1 species
AAUAGAUACCCCGGUAGUCCACGCCGUAAACGGUGGGCACUAGGUGUGGGCAACAUUCCACGUUGUCCGUGCCGCAGCUAACGCAUUAAGUGCCCCGCCUGGGGAGUACGGCCGCAAGGCUAAAACUCAAAGGAAUUGACGGGGGGCCCGCACAAGCGGCGGAGCAUGUGGCUUAAUUCGACGCAACGCGAAGAACCUUACCAAGGCUUGACAUACACCGGAAAGCAUCAGAGAUGGUGCCCCCCUUGUGGUCGGUGUACAGGUGGUGCAUGGCUGUCGUCAGCUCGUGUCGUGAGAUGUUGGGUUAAGUCCCGCAACGAGCGCAACCCUUGUCCCGUGUUGCCAGCAACUCUUCGGAGGUUGGGGACUCACGGGAGACCGCCGGGGUCAACUCGGAGGAAGGUGGGGACGACGUCAAGUCAUCAUGCCCCUUAUGUCUUGGGCUGCACACGUGCUACAAUGGCCGGUACAAUGAGCUGCGAUACCGCAAGGUGGAGCGAAUCUCAAAAAGCCGGUCUCAGUUCGGAUUGGGGUCUGCAACG